GACGAAGCGACGCCGCGUGAGCGAAGAAGGCCCUAGGGUUGUAAAGCUCUGUCGGGGGUUAUGAAAUGCAGGUUGGUUAAUACCCAACCUGUUUGACAAAGGCCCCAAAGGAAGCCACGGCUAACUCUGUGCCAGCAGCCGCGGUAAUACAGAGGUGGCAAGCGUUGUUCGGUAUUAUUGGGCGUAAAGAGCACGUAGGUGGUUUUGUAAGUCAGAUGUGAAAGCCUUCUGUUCAAAGGAAGAACGGCAUCUGAAACUGCAGA
rnacentral:rRNA from 1 species